ACCGAGCAAGAGGCUGGAGCCGUGCUUUGUUCUGGGCACCGGCGCCUCUAUCUUCCCGCGUCGGUUCCAUCCUUUGCUUCCCUCUCCCGGCAUCCCCUUCCCCAGACGCUGCGGCUGAGCGCCCUUGCCAGGUUCUGGUUUUUGCUUUUUCCUCCCAAGGCGGGGGGUCUCUCCGCCAGGCCCCGCCCCUCCAGGCCCGGCAUGUCCCCUGCUGCCCCGCGCCCAUGGUCCUGACGCUGCUCUUCUCCGCCUACAAACUGUGCCGCUUCUUCGCCAUGUCGAGCCCACGGCCGGGCGCCGAUCGGUUGACAGUGCCAGGGCCGGAUAGGAAUGGUAGCGCCAGCCCGUGGUGGGCCGCGGGCCGUGGAUCCCGCGAAGUGUCGCCUGGGGUGGGCACCGAGGUGCAAGGCGCCCUGGAGCGUUCGCUGCCGGAGCUGCAGCAAGCGCUGUCCGAGCUGAAGCAGGCAAGCGCGGCGCGGGCGGUGGGCGCGGGCCUCGCCGAGGUCUUCCAGCUAGUAGAGGAGGCCUGGCUGCUGCCGGCCGUGGGUCGCGAGGUGGCCCAGGGUCUGUGCGAUGCGAUACGUCUGGACGGUGGCCUCGACUUGCUGUUGCGGUUGCUGCAGGCACCGGAGCUAGAGACCCGCGUGCAGGCCGCGCGCCUGCUGGAGCAGAUCCUGGUGGCUGAGAACCGGGACCGUGUGGCGCGGAUAGGCCUGGGCGUGAUCUUGAACCUGGCAAAGGAACGCGAACCGGUGGAGCUGGCACGGAGCGUGGCGGGCAUCUUGGAGCACAUGUUCAAGCACUCAGAGGAGACGUGCCAGCGGCUGGUGGCGGCCGGCGGUCUGGACGCGGUGCUGUACUGGUGCCGCCGCACCGACCCGGCGCUGCUGCGCCACUGCGCCCUGGCGCUGGCGAAUUGCGCGUUGCACGGGGGCCAGGCGGUGCAGAGAUGCAUGGUGGAGAAGCGCGCCGCCGAGUGGCUCUUCCCUCUUGCCUUCUCCAAGGAGGACGAGCUGCUGCGGCUGCAUGCCUGCCUGGCGGUGGCGGUGUUGGCUACCAACAAGGAGGUGGAGCGCGAGGUCGAGCACUCUGGCACGCUAGCGCUCGUCGAGCCGCUCGUGGCAUCCCUGGACCCCGGCCGCUUUGCCCGCUGCCUGGUGGACGCCAGUGACACAAGGCAGGGUCGCGGACCGGACGACCUACAAAGCCUGGUACUGCUGCUCGAUUCGUCGCGUUUGGAGGCUCAGUGCAUCGGGGCUUUCUAUCUGUGUGCUGAGGCUGCCAUCAAGAGCCUACAGGGCAAGACCAAGGUGUUCAGCGACAUCGGUGCCAUCCAGAGCUUGAAACGCGUAGUUUCUUACUCCACUAAUGGCACCACGUCGGCGCUGGCGAAGCGCGCGCUGCGCCUGUUGGGCGAGGAGGUACCCCGGCGCAUCCUGCCCUGCGUGGCCAGCUGGAAGGAGGCCGAAGUCCAGACCUGGCUGCAACAGAUCGGCUUCUCCCAGUACUGCGAGAACUUUCGGGAUCAGCAGGUAGAUGGUGACCUGCUUCUACGGCUUACAGAGGAAGAACUCCAGACAGACCUGGGCAUGAAAUCGAGCAUUACCCGCAAGAGGUUCUUUAGGGAGCUCACAGAGCUCAAGACCUUUGCCAGCUACGCUACAUGCGACCGCAGCAACCUAGCAGACUGGCUAGGCAGCCUGGACCCUCGCUUCCGCCAGUACACCUACGGCCUGGUCAGCUGCGGCCUGGAUCGCUCCCUGUUGCACCGCGUGUCAGAGCAGCAGCUCCUGGAGGACUGUGGCAUCCGCCUGGGGGUGCAUCGCUCACGUAUCCUCUCUGCAGCCCGAGAAAUGCUACACUCGCCAUUGCCCUGUGCUGGCAGCAAGCCCAGCGAAGACACCCCAGAUGUCUUUAUCAGCUACCGGCGGAGUUCGGGGUCCCAGCUGGCCAGCCUCCUGAAGGUGCACCUGCAGCUGCACGGCUUCAGCGUCUUCAUCGACGUGGAGAAGCUGGAAGCCGGCAAGUUCGAGGACAAGCUCAUCCAGAGUGUCAUGGCAGCUCGAAACUUUGUUCUGGUGCUAUCUGCUGGGGCGCUGGACAAAUGCAUGCAGGACCAUGACUGCAAGGACUGGGUGCACAAGGAGAUUGUGACUGCUUUAAGCUGUGGCAAGAACAUUGUGCCCAUCAUUGAUGGCUUUGAGUGGCCCGAGCCCCAGGCACUGCCUGAGGACAUGCAGGCUGUGCUUACUUUCAAUGGCAUCAAAUGGUCCCAUGAGUACCAGGAGGCCACCAUCGAGAAAAUCAUCCGCUUCCUUCAGGGCCGCCCCUCUCAGGACUCCUCUGCCGGCUCUGACACCAGUCUGGAGGGAACUGCACCAAUGGAUCUGCCUUAGCCUGUCCCCAGUUCCCACACCCUGCAGUGACCCCUGGUUCCAUUAUCUCCCCACCCUUAAAGGAAUAGCUCCUCUAGAGCCGCCCUGGGCUGAGGCAAACCAGACCCUUCUCAGGAAAUGGCUUUCCCUGCUGCCCCCCAGUGGCCCACUUCUAACCCAGAGAUGCCAGGCACGGGGUUAAAUGAGACGACUCCUCUGUCAGGCCCUGCCUUCAGGUUCCAACAUCCCAUGCCCCCGCUUAGUUCUGGACACUCAAGGUAGCAUCUCUGGUCUCCUGCCCAAGAGCAGCCAGCUCGAGUAGGGUGAGCUUGGCAGGUCCUGGCAGGAAUCAGGACAAUGCCUAGGCCCUCUAUUUGGGCCCAGGAGGCAUCUGGGGUUGAGGAUCCCCCAAAGGCUGUCUACUCACAUUGUGCCUGGCCCCUGGCUCACCUGGAUUCCUGCUGCCUCAUGGCCUUGCUCUGUAACUACUUGGUACCCCUGCCAGAUUUCUUUAGGCAGCCUCCUUUGCCAUACUGGGAGUCAGAGUCCAUCUGAACUGGCCCUCUGCCUGGCCUUGCUGCCCUUUCUGGUGCAAGAAAGGACCCUUACUUGUUCAGGGAGACUGUAAGAAUCCACCCUAGCCCAAACCUCUGUGCUGUGCCUAAGGCUCUUGCCUAGCCUGAUCUACCUGGCUUCUCCAGCUCCUCAUCCACACAGGGCUAAGAGGAGACUGGAGAAGCUUCAGCAGAACCAGUAGCCAGGGCAGAGCAUGCACCCUGGGAAAGAGGCAAGACCUCUGCAGACAAGGGCCAGUUCCUGGGGCCGUCUCUCUCACAGAAGUGUGUCCACAUCCACUGGGAAUCUUAUCAAAACACAGAGCAAGCCAUCCGGGAAGUUCCUGAGCCGCUGCCAUCUGCAGAUUCCCACGGGAGCUCAUGCAAGGUCCUCACCAGCCCCUGUCACGUUCCAAACACCCCAGUCUGGUUCCUAACCCUCCCUGGAGCCUUUUCCAAUCCGGUCACCCCAGUUUUACAGAGAGGAAUGGCUGAGUGAUAGGCCCAGGUCCCCAAAUCAGUGGUGGCAGCCUCAGAUUCUGCCCUAGUCCUGACACCCAGCACCAGUGUCCAGCCCAUUGGCUCUUGCCAAUACCCAGCCUCCAGCUGGAGUCAGCUGGCAUCACCCCGCUGCUGACCUCUGGAGGCAGUGGGGUCACACACUUCUCCAGAAGCUGGCCAGGUUACUUUCCCUCAGUCCCCACUGUCAGAGAGCCAAAGGGCUUUCUCUCCAGGCUUAGGGACACCUUCCUUGACUGUCCUUCCUGCCAAAGACCCCAUCGUCCAUGGGUCAUGGCUGGCCUCUGGCUGUGACUAUCUGUAGUCCUGGUCCUGCCACCAGUGCCAACCCCACACCCUGUUCUGAGGUGAGGCAGAUGGAAUGGUACCCUUGAUGACGAAGUCAAUAACGAUACAGUAUAUGAGUUCCUCCCGGGAAACCUACCUAUCUCCAGUCCACACUUUCCAGAGGGCCCCGUGGGCAGCACUCAAGAAGUUUCUGGGUUUUCUUAUUUGGGACACAGGUCACUACUACCUCCAUUGUCUGGCCUUCUGUUGACCUGUCCCCUCCCGUCUUCCUGGGGAACCAGAGCACAGCCUUCUGCCCCAGUCAGGGUAGCAGUGCCAAGCCUCCUCUAGCGAGGUACUCUGCUCUGUGGUGACACAGCUCAGACUGCAGGCAGAGCUAAGCAAGGCUGACCACACUGACCUCAAGACGGGCUCUUCAGUAGCCUUUCAGGCUGCCCAGGUUUGCACGGUCUGUGGGUGCAGUGUUUUCUGCCUGGCCGGGCUAUAUAGCUGUUACCCCAAGCUGGGGCUGAGUCAGGCUGGUCACUACACUACACCCCUACCCCUCUCUAGUGGGCGACAUUAAGAGGGUAAACAUCCAGCCACAGUGCGUCAUCUCAUCACUAGGCAUCUCAUCCUGGGGUGCAGGGAGAUGGAGGGAUCCAGAGCAUCCGACCGCUGUGCUUCCUAACACAUGCAAUUACAGGGGCCCUUGUAACCAGACAGUUUGGGUGGAAAGCCGACCCAGCUUUCUUUAUUCGAGGUCAAGGUGCCAGAGUGGAGCCUUUCCCUCCUCACAGUGGUGGGGUCAGUAGAAGGCCUCUUCUUGCUGAGUUCCCACCUCCAAAGGGGCAGUGAGGCAGGAGUGGACCCCGCUGCAGUUCAGGGGGCCUUAGAGGGGCAGUGAGGCAGGAAUGGACACCGCUGCAGCUCAGGGGCCUUGCUCAGCACUGAACUACAUGGAGGGCUAAAUGGCAGCCAAAAGUGAUCUUGCUGGGGCUGGUGGAGCCAUGAAGCCAGCGGGGUAGUGACUCAAUAGACCCACAGGAAGGAGCAGCCAGGGCUGGGGCCCAAGUGUCACCGCUGCUCUGAAAAUGUCUCACAAGCCCUUCACC